GAAAUGCGAUAAUUCCUUUUCCUUUCAUACUUCCUUGCCUCCUCGCAUCUUUUACCGCACCUUGCGCUCCUUGGUAUUCCUUGGAGCAUGCCUGUUUGAGUAUCAUGAAAUCUUCAAAGUAAAUCUUUUGUUAACUCAAUUGGUUUCUACUUUGGUAUUGGAGGUCUUUGCAGCUUCACACCUGCUCCUCUUUGUUCAUUAGCUGGAUCUCAGUGUUAUGCUUGGUUCCACUCGGCGUGAUAAGUUAUCUAUCGCUGAGGACACUGUAAAAGGUGGCCAAGGUAAAUGCAGAUGAACCGCUUCUAAUAGUCCAUUGACUUGGACAAUACUUUUAUGAUCUGAUCUCAAAUCAGGUAGGACUACCCGCUGAACUUAAGC
rnacentral:misc_RNA from 1 species